rnacentral:rRNA from 1 species
AUUGAACGCUGGCGGCAGGCCUAACACAUGCAAGUCGAACGGUAACAGGUCUUCGGAUGCUGACGAGUGGCGAACGGGUGAGUAAUACAUCGGAACGUGCCCGAUCGUGGGGGAUAACGCAGCGAAAGCUGUGCUAAUACCGCAUACGAUCUACGGAUGAAAGCGGGGGAUCGCAAGACCUCGCGCGGACGGAGCGGCCGAUGGCAGAUUAGGUAGUUGGUGGGAUAAAAGCUUACCAAGCCGACGAUCUGUAGCUGGUCUAGAGAGGACGACCAGCCACACUGGGACUGAGACACGGCCCAGACUCCUACGGGAGGCAGCAGUGGGGAAUUUUGGACAAUGGGCGCAAGCCUGAUCCAGCCAUUCCGCGUGCAGGAUGAAGGCCUUCGGGUUGUAAAGCUCUUUUCGGCAGGGACGAUAAUGACGGUACCUGCAGAGAAGCCCGCUAACUCCGUG